AUAACACUGUGAAUGAACAAAAACUGUCACGUGACCCCAAAAGUCAACGUCAGUAGGCGUUUUACGAAGGAAAACAGCCGCACCAGAUAUGUCACAUGUGUGUCGUUUUUGUGGAGAUGCCCUCAAAACCAAGUGGGGGUUAAAGCUGCACGAGGACAGGCAUCUCGGCGUGUCAAAAUAUUCAUGCUGUGAUAAGCAAUUUAGUAGAAAAGAGGACCUCACCAGACACAUGUGCGGUGUGCAUGGGGAAACGAAAGAACAUGUGUGUCCAACCUGCUCUGCAGAAUUUGCAACGAAAACUC